AAAGGGAGGUUGUGUAUGUUGUUUGUGUGUGAUCAAAUUGUUUGUGUUUUUCUGGGGUGCCGCCUCAAGGUCAAACGUGUUGCAAUUUAAAUAUAGAUAUUAGAAGAUGUUAGCUUGAAAUGUGGUUAGUGUUAAGGGGGAAUAUGCGGCGAACGGCUGUUGAAUGCCUUCAUCAAACCUUAUUGGUAUUGCUAUCUGAUGCUGAGCAUGAGGCGGUCUAUGGACCUGAGACUUUUAGGGAACAGUGUCAAAACAUUGUCCAAACGUAUGAGUUGGGGAUUGAACUAUGUAGACUCUUUUUAAAUUACAAAAUAUGUGUUGAUUGCCUUAUAAACGGACUGAACGAGGCUCAGUUGGGUGAAUACAUAAUAUGGUGAUGAAGAAAGUUACAUUUGACGAUAGUAACAAUCGCGUGUAUGUGCUGGUCGCGUGGUCCUUUGCAUAUAGUGCGGCACGAAAAGGGCCUUGGGAAACUAUGGCCUUGGAUAGAUUUCGCUUUAGUAGAAAAAUAGAGCAAUUUUGUAAGAUAUUGUCUCCCGUCUUAGCAGAAAAUCAUCGUUUAUCAGUUUAUCGGACUAGAUUUCAAGGUCAACAGAACUCAAUGUAAUGGUAUAUCGCACUAGAUUUCAAGGUCACCAGACAGUAAUGUUUAUCGCAUUAAAAUUCAAGGUCAUCAGACAGCAAUAUAAUGGUGGUAGAAACGGUGAAUGGAAUCAGUCGAAUAGUGUUCGCUAAUCAGUUAAAAUGGAUCUUAAUCAACUCAACAGUAGCACCUACUGCAAACCUUUCAAGAACGUCAAGGAUAUGAAGGUCGGUGAAAAGUAUAAAGUGAUUGGUAUCGACCUAAUCAAUACCAAAUAUGGCGAUCGAAUACUGAUCGAUACUGAGAACUUUAAGUGCAUCCUUCCUUUGCGCUUUUAUGACUACUUCAAGAGCGACAACCGUCUGCA